AUAGCAAGAGAGGUUCAGUGAGGAGUGUGUCGUCUACCGCCUAGCUCUCUUUUCUGAGUAUAAUACUCCGCGACACACUCGUUAAAGUGCUGGGACCUGCUGAGAGAAACUCGUUAAAGUGCUGGGACCUGCUGAGAGAGUCGUUAAAGUGCUGGGACCUGCUGAGAGAGUCGUUAAAGUGCUGGGACCUGCUGAGAGACUCGUUAAAGUGCUGGGACCUGCUGAGAGAGUCGUUAAAGUGCUGGGACCUGCUGAGAGAGAGACUCGUUAAAGUGCUGGGACCUGCUGAGAGAGACUCGUUAAAGUGCUGGGACCUGCUGAGAGAGUCGUUAAAGUGCUUGGACCUGCUAAGAGAGACUCGUUCAAGUGCUGGGACCUGCCGAGAGACACUCGUUAAAGUGCUGAGAGAAACUCGUUCAAGUGCUGGGACCUGCAGAGAGAGAGACUCGUUAAAGUGCUGGGACCUGCUGAGAGAAACUCGUUAAAAUGCUGGGAACUUCCAGGAGACCAUGAACACCAGUCAUUGAGUAAAUUGAAUACCAUCAGGGUGACGUGUGAGAGCUGAGUGGCAGUCAGGUAGACCCAAAAGCAAGUCUUUGAAUGCAACGGUCAUCAACGUGGUGUGAAGAACAUUGAACCCAAAAUCUACAGUCAUCAACGUGGUCUGAAGAACAUUGCACCCAGAAUCUAGUCAUCAACGUGGUCUGAAGAAGACUGCACCCAAAAGCAAGUCUCUGAACACUAUAGUCAUCUCCAUGGUCCAAAGAACAGUCACAAGUCACCAAAAAUCAAUCGACUUAAACCUAGAAACAGUCGCCAGUAUCUUGGUGAUGGGAAACUGCUGUGGAAUGCAUCUCUUCAUGAGGUGGCAAAGCAAAACCCACAUGAACACCUGGCCUGAUAGUGUCUGUAACACACACCUGCUCUGAUAGUAUAUCAUCUCCACACAACUGCCCUGAUGAUGCAGCUUUGCCACAUAAUGCAGGUGAAGCACAUAUUUGGAAUACCCAAGAUUAUCAACCAGCUUCAGCAGAAAUCUGUAUCACCUAUAAUGUGAGAGACCAGCAGUGGCAACCAAACAAUUUGAAAGAUAACUCAGACAUAGCCAGAAGUCAGUUUCUGAAAGAUUCAGAUAAAAAUUUGGAGAAGAGCAUCUUGGUGGAAAGAAGCCUAGAGGAACCCGAGGUCAGUCACUGUUUAGGUUGUGUUUGGGACAGUGUUGAUAAAAGAAAUAUUAGACAAACAGCAUGUAACAUUAGUUCCGAGCCAAUGUGGCAAGAAAUAGACAUGGAAGAGUCCUUUGAUACAUAUCUGAAUGUAUCAAGGCUGGAAGCAGGGGAUUUCAGACAGGGUGUGCGUGAUUUUGCAUGUAAUAUGGAUGAGUCAUUUUUGAAUGACCAUGCAUUGUCAGUGCCUAUUGAGGUAGAGAAUAAUGUAAAGUCAUGGCACAGAGGUCUGGAUGACCUGGAAAGGAGAUCUGACAAAUAUUUUUAAUACUGUUCAAAAUUAUAAUGAUACUCUUUCAUUAGAGGAAGGGCCAGGAACAUCAUUUCUUUUUGGCAAUCACUAUUUUAAUUCUACAGAAAACAGUCAUGAGGGUGUCACUGAUUACAUAUCAGGAACAGAGCCCAAAUGCCAGGAUGAGAGCUCCUGGAAGGUUCCUUUAACAUAUUUCCUCAAAGUUGGUACACAAGUGGGCUUAAAUGUACCACCCUUGUCACACCUGCUGCUGUUAACUAAAGCUUUUCUAAUACACGAGAAAAUUUAACUUUUCAUGGAAUAAACUUUGAUAAUAGAUGUCAACAAUUGGUUCAGAGAGACAUGAGCAAACAAUAGAAAACAAUUUUGUUCUGGGGGCCUUGAUCAUGUAAAACAUAUACAUGGAUAAUAACAACAGUACCUAUAGGGAAAAAGUGAAGUUAUAUAUAAGUUUAAUAAUGUUCCCAUUUCAGUAAAAUAGGUUAAUUAUAUUAUGAAGAAACCUAAACCCAAAGGGGUCAUGCAGUGCCUUGGGAAUGAGGUGUUAAUCCAAGAAAGGCAAAAGUAGCCCAAAUUCCUUGGAUUAAGAGCUCUUUACCAGCAGCAACACACCCCAUUGAAGGACAAACUUCACAAGACACCCACGGAUCAGAAAUCAAAACUGAACACAUUUUUUCAAACAGUCCUGGACAGCUAAGUGAUGAGUGAGGAUGACAAGAGUGUUGGUUAAAAGUUGCUGAGAUAACUGAAGAUGUAAAGGUCUGAUCACAUCAUGUGUGUUUGGUAUUAAUACAGUUUUUUUUUUUUACUACACUAUAAGGGCUAAUAACCUCAUUUUCCUGUAUACAUUACUAAAUAUAAAAAAAAAAUUUUUUUUUUUUGGGUCACCCCACUUUGGUGGGAAACAGUCGGUGUAUUAAAAAAAUAUAUGGAUGUCACCCUGCCUCAGUGGGAGAUGGCCAACUUGAAAAAAAAAAAAAUGUAUAUAGGAAAACAAUAUUAUUAUAUAUUGAUGUAAUGCAGCACCUGGGUAUCAUUUAUUUUGAAGAUUUCUCAUCAACCAGUGGAAAAAUCUCUAAACACCUUCAAGACUGAUUACCUUAUCUUCACUGUCUUGUAUAUACAUUUGUACUAAAUUGAAAAAGCCACAAGUUGAUGAGAUAUCUUCUAAAUGAAGACACUCAUGUGCUGCACAUGUGUAAUUCACUAAGUAUAACAGGCACAAUACUGUGACUGGAGCAAUACACAAAUAACUCUCACAUAGUGGAGAGAGAAUCUUUUCACUCUCAUGUUCUGGUUAUUUGUUUAAGUAUAACAUAUCAUAGGUAUAUUAUUUCACAGAGUGCCAAAUCGACGUUGUCAUUCAUUAUUGGUGUGCACUCAGUGUUUUGCCAUACAGUUAACUAUUAGGAAGUGUCUUAAACUGUUCAGUAAAAUAUCAUUCAUUGUUAAAAAACCUUUAUUAGCAACUUAAUAUUAGUAGUGAAGGGCAGUUUCCCUUAUUUAGUAGAGGACCAUUAUAUAAACUGCCUUGUCUAUGCAGGCUUCACUAUUAAACUGUUUGAAGGAAGUAGAUUUGUCAGGUCAUCACUAGAACAGACAUGUUGAAAAGUCAUCCAAUCAUUUUACCAUCUUGUUUAUUUCAUCUUCAAACUAUGCACACCAGUACAUUUAGGAAUUGGAAUUGGUAAAAUGUUUUACAAUAAUAAGUCACAUGCAGGCAAUGAAUAUCUGAUCAAAAUAAAUAUAUACAUUGUGUGCAUAAUACAAUAUUUUGUUAAUCUGAAGGUUACAGGAAAGACUUUCAAAAUGCAUUUGUGUUUCAAUGACACUUUCACCAUGAUUUAUAAAAACAUUAAAACUCUCAUACAGACUAUAAGACAGAAGUCAUGGGGAGAUGUACCAUUUUGUCCUACUACAUGAAGGGUUUGUGCUGUAUGACCCUUGUAGGUUUAGCACUUCUUUUUUAUUAUAAUAAUAAUAUAUGAAGGCUGAAGUCAAAAUUGACCCAGGUACACAGUAGUCAAGAAUAUAAUAAAACUCAAACAAAGGAGUUAUUGUGGUAUAAUCAUUAAGUUCCUUAAUAUAUAAAUUCAAAUUCUUCAAUAUAACUUAUAAGUAGAGCAUGGGGAUAAUUUUAAAAUCAAUUAUGUUUAGUAAAUAAAUUUUAAUUUCAAAAUAUCUUAAAGUUGAAAAAGAGGGCUUAGGUAAUACCUGUAGAGGUUUUCAGGGGCCUGGUUUGUCACCAUACCUUGUGGAUCUGAGCUUGAUCAAUCAGUCUUGAAUUGAUAUAGUAUAAGCCACAGCAAGAGUCCUGUAUGAUAGACCUCUGUGCUCAUGUACAGUAAGGGACCUGCAUAUACAGCACCUCUUUUUCAGUGUUCCACACUAUUGUUGGCUUUCAACUGAGCCAUUGUUUACUAUAUUCGGUGCUUUUACCGCCGCUCCGAGCAUUUUCAUACAACGGUUGCCUAAGGGACAGAUGACGGCGUUGUAUGAACAGGGGGGCCUCCUGUAUUCUAAUUGAGCUUCCAAUGUAUGUAACAUUUAAUCUAGUGUAUUCAUUAGAAAAGAGGCGACAACAGGAUCCUUAUAUUUAAAAUAAUUCCCGAUGGUUAAAGAUUAGUAAAUAUGAAUCUGAGGAUAAUUUUGCAACCAUUUCAUUUUCCUCAUAUUAUUGUAUAACUAAGUUCCAAUAUUAGGAAACCAGGUUUGAAAUAGUUAUAAAAUUACCCUUGAAUUCACAUUUGUAUUAUGUCAUCUCUCUGCUCUAUUAAUUAUUUACUAAUAAACAUAUUCUCGAUAUACUGGAAGCUCGAUUAUAAACUUGUAUAGGCACAUCAUGCAAGACUUGUUAAAUUAGCUGAGCUCUGUUUUUCAACUGUAAGGUAAGUCAGUUUUGGCUCAACCCUCCAUAGGGUAACAGUAAUUAGUAUGUCUUGCUUUAUUUACUGUACAAAAUGUUCACGACUAUCUUUUAUAAGUGCUGUAAUGAAGAUAUGUGAUUCAGAAAAUGAACAAGUUGAAAAGUUAGACAUGUGCAACAUUUGGGUAUCUUUAUUGUGGAAAAGCUUUGCUUCAUCAGUCCAAUACAAAGAAGAUCAAGAAUUUGAGAUAAUCAGUCCCUUAGCCUGGAGUCAACUCCAGGCUGAGGGACUGAUUACCUCAAAGUUCUGAUCUUCACUGUUCUUUGUAUUGGUCUGAUGAAGCCUGUGUGUGUGUCAAGACACCCAACUGUUGGACGUUUUUUUACAGCUCCUGAUGGUAAUACAUUUCACCAAAAUAAUAAUAAAUGCAUUUUACAAGCAAGUCUUUCCUGCUGCCCUUGUAUAUCACACUGAAACAUUAAUAUUUUUUUCUAAUUGCUCAAUAAGUGUCAGAUUAAGACUUGCUUUAUUUAAUGGGCAGUACCACAUUGCCAUUACUCUCAGUGAACACUGACCACUGUAAAGAGAGUGUGAUACAAAUAUUAUAACGUGAGGUACCAGUGUAUGAAAGUAACGAGUAGUUAACUUUUAGCAGAUGUAAUAUUUAUUCUAGUGACAAUACGUAUUAGUUUUAAGAAUUGCUUUUUCUCGUGUAAAAUCUUUAUUACAAAAUUUUUUCCUUUGAUUUUUUUUUGUCAUGAAACUAAUUUCAAAAUUACUUUUCAGGGGUUUUAAGGGACUAAUAAUUAUCAAAAUCAAGCACUAAACCCACUAGGGUAA